UCUUAGACAAUGGGCGCAAGCCUGAUCUAGCCAUGCCGCGUGAGUGAUGAAGGCCCUAGGGUUGUAAAGCUCUUUCACCGGUGAAGAUAAUGACGGUAGCCGGAGAAGAAGCCCCGGCUAACUUCGUGCCAGCAGCCGCGGUAAUACGAAGGGGGCUAGCGUUGUUCGGAAUUACUGGGCGUAAAGCGCACGUAGGCGGAUUGUUAAGUGAGGGGUGAAAUCCCAGGGCUCAACCCUGGAACUGCCUCUCAUACUGGCAAUCUCGAGUUUGGGAGAGGUGAGUGGAAUUCCGAGUGUAGAGGUGAAAUUCGUAGAUAUUCGGAGGAACACCAGUGGCGAAGGCGGCUCACUGGCCCAAAACUGACGCUGAGGUGCGAAAGCGUGGGGAGCAAAC
rnacentral:rRNA from 1 species